GCUGCCACUGACAGAAAAGAAAAACAGAAGAGUCAAGAAGAAAUGAAACCAAGGAAAACCUCCCCCAGACUUCAGCAUGGAUUGAUGGUUAGAACGUGUUCCUGGAAAGGAGACAGGGGCUAAACAUUGCCCAACACGUGCUCAAAGAAGGCAAAAAUGGUUUGUGAAUCAGAUCCAAGCAAUUUCCCAAGAUAUUUCAUCAUGAUCAAGGCAGACUUUUAUCAGACAAGACCAUUUAUAUUGGCAAUUUUUCAAAGGUUGCCAUUCUCAAAUCAGGUUAGUUACACUGACAACUCCUACUUUACUCUGGACAUUUAUUCAGAGAUUGCAAUCGUGUAGUAAAAAGCAAUAUGUUAAAUUUUAACUGACCUUUAAUAGACUUUUUUCAUUUCUUUCUGAUG